GUCCUCCGCAUGGGUGAAAUUAUUUAGUCUUUGCUACCAGCCUGUAGGUGACUCAGAUCUGAAGCAGAACAAUCCUUCAUCCAGGGAGACCAAAGAGGAAAGCACUGUGGUUGAAACCUGCUAUUGCUACAUACUAGCACUGGUGAUCUUCAGCAACUAACUGGUGAGCUUCACCAAUUGACUCGCUGAAGCUCAGUUUCUACAGAAGCAAAGAUCUUGCUCUGCCUACUUCCCAGUUUUGUCUAGAUGAGC
rnacentral:lncRNA from 1 species